UGGGGAAUAUUGGACAAUGGGCGCAAGCCUGAUCCAGCCAUACCGCGUGGGUGAAGAAGGCCUUCGGGUUGUAAAGCCCUUUUGUUGGGAAAGAAAUCCAGCUGGUUAAUACCCGGUUGGGAUGACGGUACCCAAAGAAUAAGCACCGGCUAACUUCGUGCCAGCAGCCGCGGUAAUACGAAGGGUGCAAGCGUUACUCGGAAUUACUGGGCGUAAAGCGUGCGCAGGUGGUCGUUUAAGUCCGUUGUGAAAGCCCUGGGCUCAACCUGGGAACUGCAGUGGAUACUGGACGACUAGAGUGUGGUAGAGGGUAGCGGAAUUCCUGGUGUAGCAGUGAAAUGCGUAGAGAUCAGGAGGAACAUCCAUGGCGAAGGCAGCUACCUGGACCAACACUGACACUGAGGCACGAAAGCGUGGGGAGCAAACAGGAUUAGAUACCCUGGUAGUCCACGCCCUAAACGAUGCGAACUGGAUGUUGGGUGCAAUUUGGCACGCAGUAUCGAAGCUAACGCGUUAAGUUCGCCGCCUGGGGAGUACGGUCGCAAGACUG
rnacentral:rRNA from 1 species